GUCUGCCAUGGCGGGUGGGUGAAAGACCCGAGCUAACAUGGGGUUAGCUCGUAAAACUACAAUAAAGCCUCAUGCAGUUUGCAUCAAGCUUUCGCCUCCAUUCUGUGUUUGGGGUGGCCGCCGUCCUGGGCUAAGAUUCUGGAAGCCUCAGCUUUCUGAGGGUCUAACAACAGGGCCCAUGUGGAGGCUGAAUGUGACUGCAGGCUGAUGUAACAACUUGCCUGAGAAGUGAUCAGAUUUGGAACUGAAUUGUGGCCAAGAGGAAAACAGUAACUCCCCUAUUAAACUCCUUCUGACCCUGAUUUGAAGACUCACUGAGAUGCCCAAAUCUGACAAUAAUCGCAUCCAAGUCAUGGAAAUUAGGCUCAUAAAAUAUCAAAAUGGACAGAGUCCCUUUAAUUGCAGAAGUGACUUCCUAGGUAAAAGUAAUCAACAUCAGCAUCCUAAAAAGACUUCUGGAGAGACUUCCUUCAUCUUAUUUCCAGCCUUGUCACUAACAGUUAAACUCUGGAUUCUGUAACUACUGCUGGGAAACCAAAGAGCGUGGCUGAGUUAGCCAGUCACGGCACCACCCAGUAUGCCAAUAAAGC
rnacentral:lncRNA from 1 species